UUUUUUUUUUUUUUUUUUUUUUAGCUCAGAAAAGAACAGUUUGAGCAAUGGAUUGCCAGAGAUCACAGUGUCCCCCGAAUGACUUGCACUGUGCAGCUGUGCGUACCCAGGGCAAACAGAGUCUCCCGAUCACAUACGUGUUCCUCACCUUCCAAAGAUGCCAGUGAGGGUUCCUCGGUCGGUUGUACUCUGUUUGCUGUUGGGAGCUCUUCAUACAUACUCUGCGUGGCCUGAUAGGGGAUGGUGAUAUAGUGUGUACCAGAAUCAAAUCCAAAUUGUGGCAAAUGUGUCGCUAAUUUAGAUAUUAAACACUGCAGCCCAUGUACUCAGAGAAGAGAGAACUUGGGGUCCCUGGAAACGUGCUCAGCAUGGCCUGUCCCCAUCCUAAGAGCUUUGUGCACGUGAACCUUCUGCGCACUCUUACACAGAACCUCUUUUUAGCAAAGAAGUGCUUGAGGUCAGGGUCAUGAGUGCUUGGCUCUAGGACAGAACUCGGCCAUGUGUGCAACUGGAUGCCGGGAACAGCCGGGGUCAUCGCCACCUAAAACUGCAAUGCACCGGGACAGAGCUGCCCGCCGACAGUCUGCUCACGGACAAGACAGUCUGAACGUGGCCACCCGCCCGGCCUCAGGUGACUGUGCUGCCCACACCGAGCUCCUCAGAAGACUGGGCAUUUCCCCGGGGUGAGGGCGAAGUGAGAGAGAGAAGGGCUGCUGCAGCUUGGUUCCCUAAAAUAAAAGGAGGCGAACACUGACGGGG
rnacentral:lncRNA from 1 species